rfam:Myotis lucifugus cont2.6959, whole genome shotgun sequence.
GGAGGUUCUCGAGUGACGCACCCUGGAAUCGGGCUCCCUCCUCUCUGGUUCCAGGUGCAUCACCCAAGAACCACA